rnacentral:rRNA from 1 species
CCUACGGGUGGCAGCAGUGAGGAAUAUUGGUCAAUGGGCGGAAGCCUGAACCAGCCAAGUCGCGUGAGGGAAUAAGGCCCUACGGGUCGUAAACCUCUUUUGCCGGGGAGCAAGGGCGGGGACGUGUCCCGGCCCGGAGAGUACCCGGAGAAAAAGCAUCGGCUAACUCCGUGCCAGCAGCCGCGGUAAUACGGAGGAUGCGAGCGUUAUCCGGAUUUAUUGGGUUUAAAGGGUGCGCAGGCGGCCUGUUAAGUCAGCGGUAAAAGCCCGGGGCUCAACCCCGGCGAGCCGUUGAAACUGGCGGGCUGGAGUUGGAGAGAAGUACGCGGAAUGCGCGGUGUAGCGGUGAAAUGCUUAGAUAUCGCGCAGAACCCCGAUUGCGAAGGCAGCGUACCGGCUCCACACUGACGCUGAGGCACGAAAGCGUGGGUAUCGAACAGGAUUAGAUACCCUUGUAGUC